rnacentral:rRNA from 11 species
AGAGGUGGCCUCAACAUCCUCAAGGCACCCGAUGCCGUCUGAUCUUGGGAGCUAAGCAGGGCCAACCCUUGUUUAGUGCUUAGAUGGGAAACAAUCAAGGAAUCCCGGGUUAUAUUCC